GACGGAGGAUGCAAGUGUUAUCCGGAAUCACUGGGCGUAAAGCGUCUGUAGGUGGUCAAAUAAGUCAACUGUUAAAUCUUGAGGCUCAACCUCAAAAAUCGCAGUCGAAACUAUUCGACUAGAGUAUAGUAGGGGUAAAGGGAAUUUCCAGUGGAGCGGGUGAAAUGCGUAGAGAUUGGAAAGAACACCGAUGGCGAAGGCACUUUACUGGGCUAUUACUA
rnacentral:rRNA from 1 species